UACGAGGGGGGCGAGCGUUGUUCGGAUUUACUGGGCGUAAAGGGCGCGCAGGCGGCUAUCCAAGUCAGGCGUGAAAGCCCCGGGCUUAACCUGGGAGGUGCGUCUGGGACUGGGUGGCUAGAGUUCGGGAGAGGAGAGUGGAAUUCCCAGUGUAGAGGUGAAAUUCGUAGAUAUCAGGAGGAACACCAGUGGCGAAGGCGGCUUCCUGGACACCAACUGACGCUGAGACGCGAAAGCGUGGGGAGCAAACAGG
rnacentral:rRNA from 1 species